GAUGAACGCUGGCGGCGUGCCUAAUACAUGCAAGUCGAGCGAACGGACGAGAAGCUUGCUUCUCUGAUGUUAGCGGCGGACGGGUGAGUAACACGUGGAUAACCUACCUAUAAGACUGGGAUAACUUCGGGAAACCGGAGCUAAUACCGGAUAAUAUUUUGAACCGCAUGGUUCAAAAGUGAAAGGCGGUCUUGCUGUCACUUAUAGAUGGAUCCGCGCUGCAUUAGCUAGUUGGUAAGGUAACGGCUUACCAAGGCAACGAUGCAUAGCCGACCUGAGAGGGUGAUCGGCCACACUGGAACUGAGACACGGUCCAGACUCCUACGGGAGGCAGCAGUAGGGAAUCUUCCGCAAUGGGCGAAAGCCUGACGGAGCAACGCCGCGUGAGUGAUGAAGGUCUUCGGAUCGUAAAACUCUGUUAUUAGGGAAGAACAUAUGUGUAAGUAACUGUGCACAUCUUGACGGUACCUAAUAAGAAAGCCACGGCUAACUACGUGC
rnacentral:rRNA from 1 species